rnacentral:rRNA from 1 species
CGGACGGGUGAGUAAUGUCUGGGAAACUGCCUGAUGGAGGGGGAUAACUACUGGAAACGGUAGCUAAUACCGCAUAACGUCGCAAGACCAAAGAGGGGGACCUUCGGGCCUCUUGCCAUCGGAUGUGCCCAGAUGGGAUUAGCUAGUAGGUGGGGUAACGGCUCACCUAGGCGACGAUCCCUAGCUGGUCUGAGAGGAUGACCAGCCACACUGGAACUGAGACACGGUCCAGACUCCUACGGGAGGCAGCAGUGGGGAAUAUUGCACAAUGGGCGCAAGCCUGAUGCAGCCAUGCCGCGUGUAUGAAGAAGGCCUUCGGGUUGUAAAGUACUUUCAGCGGGGAGGAAGGGAGUAAAGUUAAUAC